AAGAGUAAUAUUAAGGGUGUAUGGUGGAUGCCUUGACAUUAAGAGACGAUGAAGGACGUAGCAGCCUGCGAAAAGCUCCGUUGAGGUGGCAAGCAACCUUUGACACGGAGAUCUCCGAAUGGGGAAACCUAUCCCGUUGUAGACGGGAUGUCCCUUCUACGCUUUUUGUUUCGCAAAAAGCUACGCAGGGCAAGCCCUUAUAUUAAUUAUGAGGAGCUUGCCCUGCGUAGCUCAAGCGGAGCGCAGAGCGUAGUAGGGACGAGUACCCGGGGAACUGAAACAUCUUAGUACCCGGAGGAAAAGAAAAAAAACAAUCGCUAAGCAAUUAUACAUGGAUAGCCUUUGGUUAUGUGUGUAUAGUUGCAAAGCGAGUAUUCCGUUAGUAGUGGCGAGCGAAAGCGGAUUAGCCUAAACUUUAGAGACCGCGCUUUUUACAUGACUUUUAGUUGUGUGAAUUGCCAAAGGAUCCAUGUCCAUAUGUUUCUAAGGUGUUGCAAGAUAUUUACGUUUGUUUUAUGGAUUAAGCAAGGUAGAGAUACAAAAAGUAAUUUUCUAGUAGAACGGUCUGGAAAGGCCGGCCAAAGAUGGUGAUAGCCCAGUACACGAAAGGAAUUAUAACUCUACGGUAAAUAUUCUUAAGUAGGGCGGGACUCGAGAAAUCCCGUCUGAAUCUGGGUCGACUAUGACCCAAGGCUAAAUACUCUUAAUGAUCGAUAGUGAACAAGUACCGUGAGGGAAAGGUGAAAAGCAUCCCGGAAGGGAGGUGAAAUAGUACCUGAAACCAUAUACUUACAAGGAAUCGGAGCCCCGCAUUUUGCGGGGUGACGGUGUGCCUAUUGAAGAAUGAGCCAACGAGUUUGUUCUAUGUGGCUUACAUAAACUCCGCUUGGAGGAUAUGUGAAGUGAAAGCGAGGGUUAAUCGCCCGCAUCUUACUUUUUAGAUAAGAGAUUUAUGUUAGUCUCUUGUCUAAAUCGUAAGAAAGUCGCAUGGACAAGACCCGAAGCCGGGUGAUCUAACCAUGACCAGGUUGAAUGUCGUCGAAAGACGGCAGGAGGACCGAACCCACAAGCCGUGCAACACUUGGGGAUGAGUUGUGGUUAGCGGAGAAAUUCCAAUCGAACUCGGCAAUAGCUGGUUCUCCUCGAAAUAGCUUUAGGGCUAGCCUUGGAUGCUUACUACAGGGGGUAGAGCACUGGAUAAGAGUUGGGUCUUCGGAUACCACUCUUAAUCAAACUCCGAAUACCUGUAGGUGAAAUCCAGGAGUCAGACUAUGGGGGCUAAGCUCCAUCAGUCAAAAGGGAAACAGCCCAGACCGUAAAUUAAGGUCCCUAAAUUCAUGCUAAGUGUGAAAGGUGGUGUCGCGACUGCGACAACUAGGAGGUUGGCUUAGAAGCAGCCAUCCUUUAAAUAAAGCGUAAUAGCUCACUAGUCUAGUUACCGCGCGCCGAAAAUGUAACGGGGCUAAGCAUGAUACCGAAAUUACGGAUUUCUCGAUUUUAUCGAGAAGUGGUAGAGGAGCAUUCCUUGCAUCAUUGAAGUCGUCUCGCGAGAGAUGGUGGAGAGCAGGGAAGAGAGAAUGUUGGCAUAAGUAGCAAAAAGGCGGGUGAGAACCCCGCCCACCGAAAGCUUAAGGUUUCCUGGGCAACGUAAAUCGGCCCAGGGUUAGUCGGUCCUAAGGUGAGUCUAGUGUAGUGCUAGGGUAGCCGAUGGAUGACGCCGUCAAUAUUCGGCGACUACUAUUGUAUUUCAAUGGAGUGACGCACCAGUGAUGUUUAAGCGUUCUAUGGUAUGAACGUUGCUGCCUCGCGUUGAACUUUGCCAGGAAAAUCCGGCAUAAUUUUGUUCAACAAAGGUGGCAGAAGUUGAAGCGCUUUUCGUGGAGACAACUUAAGUUGAACUGGUGCCUAGAAAAACUUCUAGAGCUAAUGCGAUAGUAUCCGUACCGUAAACCGACACAGGUAAGCGAGGCGAGAAGCCUCAGGUGCACGAGAGAACCCUCGUUUAGGAACUCGGCAAAACAGCGGUCGUAAUUUCGAGAUAAGGCCUCCCCGCAUUUUGCGGGGCGCAGCUAACGACUCCAAGCAACUGUUUAUCAAAAACAUAGCUCCCUGCUAACUCUUACGAGGAUGUAUAGGGGGUGACGCCUGGCCAGUGUCCGAACGUUAAAGGGAGAGGUUAUUUGCCUUCGGGCGAAGAAGCUUUGAUCUGAAGCGCGGAUGAACGCCGGCCGUAACUAUAACGGUCCUAAGGUAGCGAAAUUCCUUGUCGGGUAAGUUCCGACCUGCACGAAUGGCGUAAUGACUUGGGGACUGUCUCAACGAGGGACUCGGCGAAAUUGCAAGGCGAGUAAAGAUGCUCGCUACCCAUAGCCGGACGAAAAGACCCCGUGAAGCUUUACUAUAACUUGAUAUUGUGUUUUGGUAUGCUCUGUUCAGUAUAGGUGGGAGCCCCGCAUUUUGCGGGGCGACAGUGAGAUACCACCCUUAGUAUGUUGAAACACUAACCUCAUCUCGUUAUCCGAGAAAGGGACAGUAUCUGGCGGGUAGUUUGUCUGGGGCGGAUGCCUCCUAAAAAGUAACGGAGGCGUUUACAAAGGUUGGCUAUCUCGGGAUGGAAACCCGAGAGAUAGUGUAAAGGCAUAAGCCAGCUUUACUGCGAGACCUACAAGUCAAGCAGUUGCGAAAGCAGAACUUAGUGAUCCGACCGUCCAAUAUAGGAUGGCGGAAGCUCAACGGAUAAAAGUUACUCCGGGGAUAACAGGCUAGUCGCGCCCAAGCGUCCACAGCGACGGCGCGGUUCGGCACCUCGAUGUCGGCUCGUCUCAUCCUGGGGGUGAAGAAGCUCCCAAGGGUUUGGCUGUUCGCCAAUUAAAGAGGCACGCGAGCUGGGUUCAGACCGUCGUAAGACAGGUCGGUCUCCUAUCCGCUAUGGGCGUAGAAAUUUGAGAAGUCCCUUCCCUAGUACGAGAGGACCGGGAAGGACAAACCUCUGGUGUACCAGUUGUUCUACCAAGGGCAUUGCUGGGUAGCCACGUUUGGUUUGGAUAAGCGCUGAAAGCAUAUAAGCGCGAAGCCGUCUUCAAGAUUAGAUUUCAUAGGUUCGUCGGAGACUACGACGUUGAUAGGCUCUAGGUGUAAGCACAGUAAUGUGUUAAGCCGAGGAGUACUAAUAAACCAUUUUUUACUCUUUA
rnacentral:rRNA from 1 species